rnacentral:rRNA from 1 species
GAUGAACGCUGGCGGCGUGCCUAAUACAUGCAAGUCGAGCGAACAGACGAGGAGCUUGCUCCUCUGACGUUAGCGGCGGACGGGUGAGUAACACGUGGAUAACCUACCUAUAAGACUGGGAUAACUUCGGGAAACCGGAGCUAAUACCGGAUAAUAUAUUGAACCGCAUGGUUCAAUAGUGAAAGACGGUUUUGCUGUCACUUAUAGAUGGAUCCGCGCCGCAUUAGCUAGUUGUUAAGGUAACGGCUUACCAAGGCAACGAUGCGUAGCCGACCUGAGAGAGGGAUAGGCAGAAGUAGAACAGGAGAAGGGUGCAGACUACUACGAGAAGCAGAAGUAGGGAAUCGUCCGCAAUAGGCGAAAGACUGACGGAGCAAAGCAACGUGAGGUAUGAAAGACUACGGAUCGAAAAACUCUGUUAGUAGAGAAGAACAAAUAUGAAAGUAACAAUGAACAAAUUGACGGUACCAAAUCAGAAAGCAACGGCUAACUACGUG